UACGUAGGGUGCGAGCGUUGUCCGGAAUUAUUGGGCGUAAAGAGCUCGUAGGCGGUCUGUCGCGUCGAAUGUGAAAACCCCGGGGCUCAACUCCGGGCUUGCAUUCGAUACGGGCAGGCUAGAGUUCGGUAGGGGGAGUCUGGAAUUCCUGGUGUAGCGGUGAAAUGCGCAGAUAUCAGGAGGAACACCGGUGGCGAAGGCGGGACUCUGGGCCGAUACUGACGCUGAGGAGCGAAAAGCGUGGGGAGCAAACAGG
rnacentral:rRNA from 1 species